GAUUCAGGUGUGAUCGGUGGUGUGGUGGUGAGUGUAAUAUUGCUGAUAGCUGUGGUUUUACUCUUCGUGUACAGACACAAACUUCCCUGGAUACAAGGCUCAUCAGAUUGGAAAACCAAUUCUGGAGACAAUACAGAGGAAGUUCAGGGGAAUCGUUGUGAGGAACUCCAGGAAAAGACGACCCAGGCAGGAAAUGUAGUGUCCUCUGUUUAUGCCACUGUCAACCCUCCUCCAGAUCUGAUACACUACGCCAGCGUCAACUUCCAGAACGACUCUGCUGUGGUCUUGACAGGGUUGGAAACACCAUCUAAGCCAGAAAUAAACACCUCAACUGAAUACUCCUCUGUCCGUAAGAAUGCUGGUCCACUGGCACCAGAGACGAUUCUUUAUUCUACAGUCACAAAAUCUGGAGAACCAUGAAAGAAGCAAAAUUCCACGAUGCAGAGUAAACACUGUUUAUAUACCAAGAAUAUUACAAGUGUUUCUCUGCAUUUAGUUUAGAUAGUUUAGUGAGAUUUGUAAUAACAGACUUCAUUGUCUAGGACAAUAUAUAUUGCGUUACAAGCUAGUUAGUGCAUGUAGUGUAGUUUGUCAGUGAACACCAGCUAUAGGUGUAAAUAUUAACAAAUGUUUGUAUGUUGAAUAAAAAAAAAUGAGAGUUCUGCUCACUCACUGAAAAGUCACUGAGAAUAUGUAUAGCACACAGCUACAUGUAUAAGACGUAGAGAAACAGAAGUCUGUACAUAAACAUAUAAAAUAAGGCUUCUGUUUUUUCAGAUAUUCUGUAAUGACACAAAAAUUAUGGAUUUUUCUGGUUGUCAAUAUAAUCCUCCUUUUUACCGAGGAGAAACAAUACUUAACAUACUAAUGACCCAAAGAGUGCAUAAUUUAUGUGGCUGAAACGGUGUCUAUUGGUUUUUUGUAGAUACAACAGGCAUUUCUGUUUAUUGACACUAUACAGCAUCUUAGUUGAUGGAUCAUUGUUAAGUUGGCAAUUAUUCACAUAGUAGCAUAUGUUUAUGUGUGUAUAUAAAAUGCCCUAAUGCUAAGUGAAUAAUCUGUCAGUACCGCAGUGCUGGCUGAUCUGAACCGUCCCUGUUGUGUAAAUGCAUGUAGUUAUCGUCAGUAUGUAUGUAGUAGUAUGUAUGUAGAUACAUUAACAGAUUCAAACCACCUCUGAAAAUCAUUUAUUCCUGCUCAGUCAGUCUUGUAUGUAGGCUGGUAUCAGUUGUUGUUGGUCAGUUGCUGUUUGGAUGUCUGUUUAUUAUUGCUGGCUGUAAAUGAAAUUGCCCCCCAGGGUUAAUAAAGAUUGCUUGUACUUAAUACUAUGAUUUUAGACUGA
rnacentral:lncRNA from 1 species